UCCGGAUGAUUCAACCGUUAUCCGGAUUCAUUGGGUUUAAAGGGUGCGUAGGCGGAAUAAUAAGGCAGUGGUGAAAGCCUGCGGCUUAACCGUAGAAUUGCCGUUGAUACUGUUAUUCUUGAGUAUAGUUGAAGUGGGCGGAAUGUGUAAUGUAGCGGUGAAAUGCUUAGAUAUUACACAGAACACCAAUUGCGAAGGCAGCUCGCUAAACUGUUACUGACGCUGAGGCACGAAAGCGUGGGGAGUAAACAGG
rnacentral:rRNA from 1 species